rnacentral:rRNA from 1 species
UACGUAGGGUGCAAGCGUUGUCCGGCAUUAUUGGGCGUAAAGAGCUCGUAGGCGGUUUGUCGCGUCUGCUGUGAAAACUCGGGGCUUAACCCCGGGCCUGCAGUGGGUACGGGCAGACUAGAGUGCGGUAGGGGAGACUGGAAUUCCUGGUGUAGCGGUGAAAUGCGCAGAUAUCAGGAGGAACACCGAUGGCGAAGGCAGCUCGCUGGGACGGUACUGACGCUGAGGCGCGAAAGCGUGGGGAGCGAACAGG